CGCGUAGGCGGCCUUGUAAGUUGGGGGUGAAAGCCCGUGGCUCAACCACGGAAUUGCCUUCGAUACUGCUUGGCUUGAGUGUGGUAGAGGUUGGUGGAACUGCGAGUGUAGAGGUGAAAUUCGUAGAUAUUCGCAAGAACACCGGUGGCGAAGGCGGCCAACUGGACCAUCACUGACGCUGAGGCGCGAAAGCGUGGGAGCAAACA
rnacentral:rRNA from 1 species